rnacentral:rRNA from 1 species
UACGUAGGGUGCAAGCGUUGCCCGGAAUUAUUGGGCGUAAAGAGCUCGUAGGCGGUCUGUCGCGUCGGCUGUGAAAACCCGGGGCUCAACCCCGGGCCUGCAGUCGAUACGGGCAGACUGGAGUACUGCAGGGGAGACUGGAAUUCCUGGUGUAGCGGUGGAAUGCGCAGAUAUCAGGAGGAACACCGGUGGCGAAGGCGGGUCUCUGGGCAGUAACUGACGCUGAGGAGCGAAAGCGUGGGGAGCGAACAGG